rnacentral:lncRNA from 1 species
CGGGCGGAUCGCUGCCUGCAGGGAGUCGGGGAUGCCAGGUUCCAGCUGAGCAGCGGCCGCCCGCCAGAGUGCCAGUGGCUCCUUGGAGGUCGAGUCCAAGGACGUGGCUUGAAGCCGGGAGCUGGGGCGCCGGAGUCCACGCACCGGGGAUGGAGGCGCUGGGUGACCUGGAGGGACCACGCGCACCAGGAGGUGAUGAUCCUGCAGGAAGUGCAGGAGAGACCCCCGGGUGGCUUUCGAGAGAACAGGUUUUUGUACUGAUAUCGGCAGCUUCGGUGAACUUAGGUUCCAUGAUGUGCUAUUCUAUACUUGGACCGUUUUUCCCCAAAGAGGAGAACGUAGAAUGUCAGGGGAGCAUCUCUCACCUGUGUUGUUGAUGACAGGAUGGAAAACUGUCUUCUCCAAACUGUCAGGUAAUUGGUAUUACUGUCAGAAACAGAGACCUAGACUGAUUGGGCCUUGGUCUGACCCAUGUGCCCACUCAUGG